rnacentral:rRNA from 1 species
AUGAAAAACGUUUCGUCUUUUUACAAAAAAAACCCUGCCUCCACUGGCCACCUCCACCACUUAUCCAUUGCCUGCCUCUACUGUACCGCCCGGCACGCCCCGCCGCUUGCCGCUGGCGUCGACGCCGCAGAAGCAGGGGAUGCGUCGCGGAGGGCGUCCGCGCCGCCCAAGCCCAGGAAUGAGGCGAGGCGUGGUAGAGCACGGCGGACCGAGGCGUCGCGGCAGGCGUUGGAGGGCGCGACAGAGGAUGAUAAGGCGGCCGACGUGCUUUCUUGGGGUGAGGCGUCGCAGCGCGCCUACGGUGUUGGCUGCUGUGGAGCGCGCUGCGGCGGGGCGGCUUCAGGCCAUAGUGGAUGA